rnacentral:rRNA from 1 species
ACGGAAGGCAGCAGUGGGGAAUAUUGGACAAUGGGGGAAACCCUGAUCCAGCGACGCCGCGUGAGUGAAGAAGUAUUUCGGUAUGUAAAGCUCUAUCAGCAAGGAAGAAAAUGACGGUACUUGACUAAGAAGCUCCGGCUAAAUACGUGCCAGCAGCCGCGGUAGUACGUAUGGAGCAAGCGUUAUCCGGAUUUACUGGGUGUAAAGGGAGCGUAGACGGCAAAGCAAGUCUGAAGUGAAAUCCCGGGGCUCAACCCCGGAACUGCUUUGGAAACUGUUUAGCUAGAGUGCAGGAGAGGUAAGCGGAAUUCCUAGUGUAGCGGUGAAAUGCGUAGAUAUUAGGAGGAACACCAGUGGCGAAGGCGGCUUACUGGACUGUAACUGACGUUGAGGCUCGAAAGCGUGGGGAGCAAACAGGAUUAGAUACCCUGGUA